rnacentral:rRNA from 1 species
UACGGAGGGUGCAAGCGUUAUCCGGAUUCACUGGGCUUAAAGGGUGCGUAGGUGGGCUAGUAAGUCCGUGGUGAAAUCUCUGAGCUUAACUCGGAAACUGCCGUGGAUACUAUUAGUCUUGAAUCGCGUGGAGGUAAGCGGAAUAUGUCAUGUAGCGGUGAAAUGCUUAGAUAUGACAUAGAACACCGAUAGCGAAGGCAGCUUGCUACACGAGUAUUGACACUGAGGCACGAAAGCGUGGGGAUCAAACAGG